rnacentral:rRNA from 1 species
GACAGAGGGUGCAAACGUUGUUCGGAAUUACUGGGCGUAAAGCGCGUGUAGGCGGCUCUGCAAGUCAGGUGUGAAAUCCCACGGCCCAACCAUGGAAGUGCACUUGAAACUGCAGGGCUAGAGUCCUGGAGAGGAAGGUGGAAUGCUUGGUGUAGAGGUGAAAUUCGUAGAUAUCAAGCGGAACACCGGUGGCGAAGGCGGCCUUCUGGACAGUGACUGACGCUGAGACGCGAAAGCGUGGGGAGCAAACAGG